GGCAUGAUGAUGAGGAAAAGGGUAGAUAACAGAGCUAAAAGACAAUCUGUGUUGUGCGUGGGGGAGAGUUGUGAUGUUAUGACUAGACAGGAGAGCUGGCAUCGGGUGGUAAAGUCUGUGAAUGCCCUCCUGAAGAAGUGCAGCUCCUGAGCUAUAGGUAAAGGAAAUCAUCAGAAAGAUUUUGAGCAAGGAAAUGAGGAUAACUAAACUGUCCUUUCCAUGAGAUGGAAGUGUGAUCAUCUGCUUGCAGAUUCCCAGUCCCCAGGUUCUGACUCCCCUAAUGUCUGAGAGUGCCGUCCUAUUUCUUUUAAAUCUUCAAAGAAUGACAAGAGUGACUUCAUUGCUUUGACCAUUUUAAUCUCGGCUGCUACAAUAAUGAAACUUGGAAUAGGAGGAACUAAAAUAUGAACCAGCCAGAAAGAAGAGAUUUGGUUGACCAAGACAUGUCUUAGAGUUUGGUCAAGGGCUCUGCUCACAGGUUUCUACACUUGUACAAAUGCUGAAGAUGGAAAGGCCUUUCCUGAUUUGUUUGGAGAAUUGAAAUAGAAUUUUGCUUUCUUGCUGGAGGUCUCCAGAGGGGAUAGUCUCAUGAGAUGGAGCAAUUGAUCACAUUUGAUGGUUACCAGCUGGAUAAUGCACCUUCAAAUGGACUUUCCCCACUUCCUUGCCUCGUUUUACUAUUGCCUGCUUCCUUGAGGUUGAACCCUGAAUAAAGCAAUUCAUG
ensembl:lncRNA